rnacentral:ncRNA from 2 species
AGUAUAUAUUUGGUAAUCGCCGUGAAAGUCGGCGGAACUGCCGGUACUGUAAUAUCCAGAAAACAAUAUAUACU